AUGAGGAGAGAGUAUCUGCAUCUAUUCGAGUCGACGAGUUAAGGUAUGCGUAAUUUCGCUGAUGAAAUUAUUUUUAAGGGGUGGAGAAUGUAAUAUACCGAAAAUUCAGAAAGUAAAUAUCGAACUUUAGUCGAAUUGACCAAAGUGCGAGGACGGUACACUUCGGAAAGUCCGAAGGUGUUAAAAUGAUCAAAAGUGCGUUGUGGAAGGUUUUCGAGAGCUAAAGAAUCAAAUUCUGCA
rnacentral:lncRNA from 1 species